UGAAUCACUCCUUCAGCAUUAGCUUGAUCAACUUUUGUGUGUGGUAGGAGGUGGAAAACAGGUAGAGUAGGCACGGUUCCACAGUACACACCUUUGGGCACCUCUUUCUUCCCCUACACUUUGUUUCUGUGCGGGUGAUUUAAUCCUCAAACACAAAUUUAGCUCCCAUUUUAAUCUGAAAAUUCUUUACUCUGGACCUGUCUCUACUGUCCAAAGGAAAAUGUGGCCCGUUAAGUUUUUCCUGGUUAUGUUGUUGUUACUUCUACAGAGCUAAAACAGAAUAUCAGUCUCCCUCUUGGUUCUUUUUUGCCACCCUUUUUCUCAGUCCUUGUGGAAUAUCACCAUUGUUUUUGUGAUUUAGGAACUGGGCAAACUCUUCAGCUCAGUCCUCCCUUUCAGUUGUCACUUCUGAGCCUUACCUAGAUCUUGCCUUUCCUAUCUGCAGCAAAGAUUCUUGUCUGGAGCCCCAACUUGUUACUGCAAAAGCCUUUUUUCAGCCUUGAGAAGAGACAAGAUGCAGUCUCAUUUCGUAUGUGUCUGUUGUCAAUGUAAAUAACAUUUUCUUAACUGAUCACUUUCAUCAUAUUACUUCUCUAAUUUCAUUCUACCCAGGACUCUUACUUCUCUGUCAUAUCAAAUGCAAGUUAAAUGCCCUUACUUGCACAGCCCUCAAAGCUUACCUGUUGUCCCUCAUUUCUAUUACAAUUUAAGAUACCUAUUCCUGCUUUUGCUUUCCUGCGAUGAUGGCCUGCUUAGUUGUAGUGAUCAGCCAAGCUUCUCUGACACUCUGUCUUCAUCUCUGGCCUUAUACUUAGGUUCGGUCUUUGUAGCAGAAUUCAUUAUAUUGCAUCUUUAUAUAUGAGUCAGCCUGGACUCUUGAUUGGGUCACCUAAGAGACUACAGCAAUAUCAGUAUGACUAGUAUUAACUGUUGUACACUGACAGCCGAGAGAGGGAUCCAUGUGUUCACAGUGUAAUGUUUUCACAACAGCUAGGCUCUCAACUUAGCCCAAGACAAUGAUACAGUUCGUAAGAAGGACUUUCUAGAGAAAACUUCUGUGCUGAAGACAGCUGUUUUCAUUAUUUCAGAGAUGCACUGGGCACCCAACACGUUGUCAAUAGGUACCUCUGCUAUUUAUGCAUGCUUCCUCAUUUUCUGUGCUUUUCUUCCAUGUUUUUUCAAUUUUUUUUUUUUCUAGAGGAAAGGACCCUGUGGUCAAGCAACCUGUAGCCUUAAGAAAAACUGUUGGUAUACCCUUGACACAUCAGGAUAAUGCUAAGCACAGCUGGGAUGUGACUACACGCUGCACAAGCAUCUAAAUAAUAAAGUAGAUACUCAGCAAAAUUGAUUUUUGGGAACACCUGCAGAGGCUUCUUGCAGUUAAAUUAGGAGACUUUGUUUCAGUGUGGUGUUUUGUAUUUUAUUUAUUUUUAGUCAGAGAAAGAGAGGAAAAGAUACUGGAAAAGUUGUUCUGAAUAAGGUAAAAGGAUUCCUAAAUAGGGAAAUAAAAGUGAGUAACUCAUUUUCAGUCCUGCAACACAAAGGAGAAGCUAGCUUUAUCGAGCAGAACAGGCAGAAAAUUUUAAAGGCAACGUGUAACUUUCCUUGGCUUCAGUAGGACUAUGUAGAUAGGGAUUUGGUGAAUCAGCCCUACACACAAAAGGAGCUCCAUCAAAGCUUUCUCAUGAAAAAUUCUUGACUUAGGGAACUUCUCUCUCAGGCAUGCUGCAAAACUUAUCCGUUUGGAUGAAAUUUUGGAUAAAAUGAGGGGUGAAGAGCUCUGGUGCUAUGUUGUUAUCUUCCUGUCAACCAGAGGAAGACUAGUAUUUUGCAAAAUCAGUGUUAAGCAUGGACAGGAUGGGUUCAUGCUGUUUUAUGUAUUUUUAAUUCAUAGUCGGGCACCAAGAAUCCUGCUUGGGUACCUAUUGCAUGGAGUCAAUAUAUCCAAGAUUAUCUGAUCAAUGAAAUGAAACAACAGAUGAAAUAACAAAUCGGGAUUUGCUGUGAUGCUGAUAAACUGAAUUGCAGUAUUAUUGAUGGAAUAUAGUCACUUCCUUUGUUCUGAAAAAGUAAGUGCUAACCUGGUGGAGUGGGAUGCAGCAUUCAGACUUUCUUUCAAAAUUUUCCCUUAUUUCAAUGAAGUUCAGCUCUGAUUCUGAAGGUAAACUGUGAUGUUCUUUUGGUUUCAGCAAAGGUGAGUGCUUAUGAGCCUCGAGAUUUUCUAUUUAAUUAUUUGUUCAAGCAUCUCCAGUUUGAAUCACACUGUGAUUCAAAGGCGAUAACUGGUACAGAUCUGGUUCUUUUAAAGUGGGUCUGUGAUUCUUCAGACAGACAGUAUAAAUCAAUCAAAGAUUUUGAAACAAGCAGUCAAAUUUUGCAGGUGUAAUAUUUCAUUUUAAUUAACAAUUCUUCACUGUAAUGACCCUCAGAAUGUUUUUAGUAUUUUUCAGGUUUCCAUAAAGAUAUAUAAAGUUUUAAGUACUUUUACUAUUAAUCUUAGGUUUAAUCAUAAUUACAGUGUGCUAAUGUGGACAGGGAAUGACAGCAGACUUGCAGACAUUUACUUUGGCUAUAAAUUAGCAGUGUCUGAAAAAUGGGACAAUUGAAUAGCUGGCAAUGAAAUAGUCUUGAAAGUCUUCGAAUACUUAUUUUUAAAUCCUUAAAAUCACCAGUUCAAUAACAAUAUUACUUAAUCAAAUGAUUAACCAGUAUGUGUGCAUUUUGGUUACUUUAAUCAGCAAAAUUUUGUCAGCUGAAAGCCUGAAAAAAUACUAUUGAUUUAUAAAAAUCCCCAUAUAACUUAUAAAAAAAAUUCAAAGGCACUCCUACAGGAUGAUGAAAUUAUAACAGGCUUUUUUGUAGCAAAGUUUUAGGAAAAAUCAGAAAAAGACUUCUGAUAUCUACUAUUUAAAAUAAAUGCAGUGCUCCUUCCUGAUACUGUGAUGUGGCUCAGAACUACUUUCUGGAAGAGAGGAACAGGGUUUCCUCUCGUCCUGUUUCCAAAGCAUCCUUGGAAACUGUUACUUUUAUUUGUGGAAACUAUCUGAAACAUUGUAAUUUGUUUCAGACAAAGUCAGGUACAGAGUUUCUGCCUUAAGAGUUACAAUCUAAAAGAUUAAGUGGACCAGUUGACAAAUUAAAAGAAAAUGUGAAGUUUUGGCCUUGUGUAAGCAAUAUCCCAUCAGUAGUUAUAUAAACUGAAACUGAAGGGGUUCUGAAAACUGUAUUAUGAAAGAAGAUAUUCUGGAUGCAAAACUAUAACUCUUUGAACAAAGUUUUUUGCACGCUGGGUGUGUUAAACUGCGUUCCUCUUUAAACUGUUAACAGAAAUGGCUCAACAUUGUGAGAAUGAGAUACCUGAGAAAUACAUUGAGCUGUGUUAUCAACAUUACAGUAGUUUUAGCAAAGUUCUGACACUGUUCUGCUUUGGCAAUUAAAAUUAAGCAUUUGGGGAGCCUUUUGCCAUCCCUGUGAGAAAUUUGGUCCAAUCAAGUCAGGUAAUCUCCUAUUGGAAAACAAAACAGAACAGUUUCUUUAAGCUAAAUUCUUAGCGUCUGGCAGCUAAAUUCCCUUAAAAAUGUAUUUUGGAUCCAUUAAAAAAAAUCCAAACUGAGCAUGUCUCUCUAAACUUUUAUUUGUGCCUAAAGUGUCUUGAACCAUUUGCUGUCAAACUCUAGAACAGCUGAGGAAAGACUGUCAGUGCUUCCCGGCUCUGUUUGGUAAAGUUCCCACAAAUACUGCUCAUGAAUUAGCACUGAAUAUUAGAGAAGAGAUGGUACUCUGUUGCUUUAUUCAUCUGCCAACGUGAAGUCAUAUGCAUGAAUGCGGUUGCAAACAAAGCCUUCACAUGGCAACUACAGCGGUUGCAAACAAAGCCUUCAAAUGGCAACUACAAAGAGAUUCAAUGUUUUUCCUAUUGUAACAUAUAGAACCUACAUCCUACUACUUCAGAAUUUGUAUGCUCUCUUUAUAAUUGCUUUUGACAUAUCAAAUUUACCUGCAGUUCAUUUGGUGAUACUGAUGGUCUGGAGGAAAAAAAGUCAUUUUAGGGUAAAAGAUAAAAGAAUCUGUUCCUGAGACACAAAUUAAUUAGGUGCUUGACUUUGUAUAGGCAAUGUAACAGAAGUUGGUAGCUGUCCCACUAUUCUAAAAGUUUUCCUUUCCUGUCAAGUCUUCUCAUUCUGACAUGUGAUCAGCAAAUUUGCAUUUGUGCCCAUGCCAAAACAAUGUACAGUAUCAUAACUCAAAGUGAAAAUUUAAAUGUGUUUGCACACCUGAUGAACUAUCGCAGAUUUGUCCCUUUUGAAUUCGUCAGCUAGAUAGGCCUAAAGAAUGUUUUGAUAUCGUAAGGUUUUGACAGUAUUUAAUCACUUGAUUCAUGUUACGUUUUUAGGGCUUCAUUCUGCCACUUCUGAUCAUACCUAUUUGUGUUUCCUUUUAGAACAAAUUCUAUUGAAAGACUAGAACUACUUUUUGGAGUAAUGUAUUGAUACAAUACAUAAAUGCAGCAGAAUUUGGUCAAAUAUAGAAAUCUUCUCUCACCAGCCUUAAUUUUGAAGAUGUGUUUUAAACAUUAACUUCUCUAGAAUUUUCCAAGAGAAUUGAUAUCUUUGAGUACCUACCUGAGGUUUCUAAGAGUGAUCUUCAUUAAGUAUUUUACAGUUUGUCUGAAAAUUAGAUCUCUUUAAACCUGUGCCAAAGCAGGAACCCAAAAUUAAGCUCACAGGAUCCCCAAUAGUUUUUUUUUUUUUCUUCCUAAUUAUAUAGUGAUAACUGUAUGGUAAGAAUUAUCACAUCAGCUCUUUGCAAACCUAAGCAAUGAGCCUAAGGCCUAUACAGGCUUGCCCUUAUAAAGCCAGACAAUAAAUCUGAAUGGUACUGAUUACCAUCUUUUGGUACAAACUGAUGGUACGAUUACCAUCUUUCCCUAGUGAUCUCUUGAGCUUGUAUGCAAGUAUAGUAAGCACUGUAGUUCAGUGGCAUAACAUUUUUCCCAGUUAAUGAUUAUCCCAAGCCCUGAUUAAUUUCUGUAGUGAAAUUGUUGUCACACAAAAUCUCUAAUGCAUUAUUAUGAUUUUUGUUAUUAUUAGUAAUAGUACUCUAACAACUUAAUAGCUUUGGAGGCCUAGCUAACAUUAUAGACUGAUACUGAAAAUAUUGUAUUAACCUGAAUGCAAUCAAAGCAUAGUCUCUCCUAAUGAUGUUUGUGUCUAGUUACAGAGACAGGAGGGAAUUUAGUAAAGAUGAGGAUUAUACAAGAAUGAAUACAAAACUAAAAGAAUUUUAUCAGUUUAUGCUUCUCUACUUGUUGUAGUAUUUACCACCAUUUUUUUUUUAAUAGUAGAUCGUACGUAGAUGCUUUUGGUGUAUUAUUCAGGCUAAUUUCUCUCAGCUGCAUGCUGUGAUUCCUUCUAAGCAGCAGUUUUGGUAUUAAAUAUUGCAAUGCUCUAUCUGUACUGAUGUUAUUUUAUAUUUGGCUUUGUUGCUGGCUUUGUAUUUCCACGUGGAGGUGCUGAUCACUGGUUUCCAUUCUGAUGUCAAAAUCUCAAUAAAGCUGCAUUGGUAUUGGAGAUAGGUUCCAGUUUUUAUUUUAGAAAAUAAGAGACCUGCAGCUAAAGGAUUAUGAGCAACAGUAAUAAAUUCAAAGAAUUUAGGUCCUAGUACUGCAGUUAGCUGAAGUAGGGUUGUCUUCUGUUUGUGAUGUUUCUACAGCAGUUGGUAGAGAAGGAAUGAAAUUCUUAACCAGGUAGCUACUAAAAUACAGAAGAAUCUGUAAUUCUUGAUGAUUAUCACUGUAGGCUAUUAAAAAGUCAGCAGACAUUUUAGCAAGCAAUUCAGGGUUAUUACAAGAAGCAACUGUGAAGUGUUAUAAUUCCUUUAACAAGGUUCCUGCACCUUUUGUUACAAAGCAAAUGAAUCAAUAAUUUCUAUUGAUCAAGGAGAGUUAAUCUCAGGCAAGACCAUUUCAUUAUAGAUUUUAAACUAAUCAGUGCAGACCAGUUUGUCUUGAAGCAAGCGCUGGAAAGAGCCAUUAACUACUUAAGUUCAUAUACUUCACAGAUACAGAAAGACAAGAAGACUGCCAGAAAGCAUUUGUAACUGAAGGACAGGACGGAUUUUAAGUCUCUGCAGGGGCUGCUUGUGACUUCAGGACAUUGCCUUGUGCAGUCGUCACCCAGCCGGGCGGCAGAAACCUCUCCCGAGCCUGCUGCACCACUGCCCUGGAAACUUCCCUCAUGGAUUUCUCUGGGGUGCUGUGCUGAACAAAAAAGAUGAUGGAUCAUUUAGAAGACAUCAUAUCUCAAGUAGCAAGCUGCAGAGAGCUGGACAGUGAGAUGUCUCUUUCUUUUCCUGCACCUGUCUCUUCACCUUCAAGAGCCACAAACGCUAUAUGUGCCAGUUUAUCACAAACUGAUGACAAAGAGGAGCGAGCAAUUGAUGGUCAAACUGUGGCUGCAAUGAAGGCAAUACCAACAGUACUAGAGCAAGAAAUCCCAGAGCAGCUUGACAGACAAAGACUUAUACAUGAGACAGGCAUACCUGCUUUGAAGCAUAUUUUGGAAGAUAUACAGCUGAAAGGACCAGGACAUGAGCAGCAGAAGAGACUGUGCAGAACACAGACGCGUCUGCAGUGUCUCAGGGUUGCAGGCGAUGUCUGCAUGAGUCCUGUGCAAUCCUAUUUCCUCAUACCCUUUACAAUACAGCCGUUCCGCUGCGCUGCAUUCAGGGCAGAGGGCAGCAUUUCCACCAUGUUAAAAAUUGUGAAUGCACAACUCCAUAAUGGAAACGAGCAUCCAGGACUUGACUUAAAGCAGAAUGGUGGUAACAAAUAACCAACUGCAUAUAACUGGACUUCAGGCUAUGGAAUUACAUUGGAAAGAGUGUGGCAACAUUUCCCACUUUCAGUUUUCUAGCCUGGCUGAAGACCUGCAAUUGUUGCUGCAGAAGAUUGAAUGCUGGGCCCAAAGCAUUUUCCCAGAAAUGAAAUUUGAAGAUUUUAUUAGCAAACUUGAAGAAUUUGAAGUGACAGAUUGGAUUUAGGUGCAACAGAAACUUUAGGCUAUUUAGUUAUUUUCCAAAAUGUACUUGUAAUAUGGGGGGAAUUGUUUUAAAGAAGUGAUAUUGGAAAAUUUUGAAUGAAAAAACAAGUCGUUUUUUCCUCCAGUGAUGAUAAUCCAUUAUAUUAAUUCCUACUAAAUGGUCUGCUGGCUUACAUGAUACUGUCCCUAAAUAAAUAUGGAUUUUAGCUGAACUGUGGAAUGCAGUUGUCUAAAAUGUAACCUCAGAGUCACUCUUCUAGAUUGAGAGGCUCAAAAUAAAAACUUACCAAAAAGACUGUUGAAAUUUUGAUCAUCUGUUGUUUUGUAUUCUGCAUGUAGUUAGUUACUGUUUAAGCAGCUAUUUCCUUCAAAAUGAUACCUUUCUGUGUCAGGACUCUGAAUUCAAAAGCAAAUUUUAAAUCCAUCAAUGCUGCACUGAUGAAGGAGAGAAAUUCUCUGCAGAAAUGUUGCCCAUGUAUUCAUUGUCUUUGGUUCUUAUGACCUUGAAGCAAAUUAUUGUGGACUUUUGGAGCUUAUGGAUAGUGAUUUCUGUAACACUACUUUCAGCAGUAUGUACAAACAUGGUAAAGCGUAUCUGAUUGAUUAUGUUGGUGGCUGUGUGCUUUUUAUGCCUUUAUUGUUCCAAGGGGUAUAACUAGGUUGGUUAUAUAAGCUCUGAACAGUUUCUCUCUUAUGCAAGUCUUCUGUGCUUGUAUUGACUUGACUGUUCUGUACAACACAAACUGGUUUACAAUCUAGCAGAGAAAAAUAAAAAAUCGAGUACGUUGAAAGAUGUUCAGUUUCCAAAAAUGGAUGCAUGACUUUUAGCAUGUAAAACCAGAGUACUGAACUUGAGUUGAACUGAACUCAUUUUUUUGCAUUAAACAGGUUUCAGAGACUGAAUAGCCAGUCAACAGGAAGAUAAUUCUAGUCAACUUUUUUCCCCAAACCUCUCAUUAUAAAUAGUUUUUGUACAGCUAUAAAGCUUGCUGUAAUGCUUGAAUGGUUUGUGGUGGUAGCUCAGCAGAACCUGGUACCUUGCUGAUUUGAAUGCUUUGGGACUGUAUUGCCAUUUAGAGUGGAGAAACUUCAUUAUACUGCAUUAUACUGCAUAUUCUUCAAAUGCAUUGUCUAGCUUUUUAAGUGACAAUGACUUUUUAGCUUGAGACAAAGAAAAGAAACAGAAACAUCAAAACAUUUUUGCUAAAGAUGAAAUGUUUGAAGAAUUGGCAACACAGCUAAUGCUGAACUGUUCAGAUUAGCUGUUUAUUUUAUUCUGUCUAUCGCUGCCUGCCUUUUACUGGAGAUAAAUGCAGUAUUACAUUGAUAUAUUUUGAGUAUCUUUACUUGUCAUCUAUACUUGACUGUAUUUUGGAGUGAUAUGAAGAAACCACUUUCUGGCUUCUGUCCCCAGCCUUGAUGCUCUCCUCGGAGCUGCUGUUAACAGGUGGAAAGGCUGCAUCAUUUAUGAGGGUGAUCUGAAUUGCUCAGAGCUCGUUGUUCAGAAGGUCCAAGGCAGAGAUAGUGAGAAGGUGAGGAAGGGGCCAUGCCCGUGGGGAGCAUCCCCGCACACAGCAUGGGGAGAGGCUGAUGUAAGGUGCCAGUGUCCCUGAACGGUGCUGCUUCUGAUUGAUGUAUAGCACCUCUCCUGGGCAGUACUGUUUCUGCAUACUGGAAAGUUACAGAACCAAAUCUUGUUUUAAAAAGAAAAAGCAUUGCCAUUAGGUUGCUGGAGUAUUUUAUAAAUAGAAAGCAUCUCUGUCAAUAAGCCUUAAGGUGUUGUUACAGCUGUUCUUUACAUCAGUUAGUAAAAAGGUUGAGGUCUGCCCAGAAGUAUACAUGACAACUUACUUUUCAUCCUGAGAUUUCAGAGCAGAGGACUAACUCGAGCCAAAAUCAGAGCUCUGGGGAGAGAGGGAUAUUUGUGAUGGUGUAACAGUGUGAUCUGGUACUAGUAAGUAGAGGACCAGGAUUCAAGACUUCUGUGGUCUGUUUUAAGCUCUGUCAGUCACAUAGCCAGUCUGAGCCUUGGUUUACCCAUCUAUAUAAGAAAUACAAAUAUCUCAAGACUUAGUGAAUUAAUGCUUAGAAGGAGCUGAGAAUUUUUAAAUGAAUGAUGUUAUAAAAAAGUAAAGAGUAAUUUUAGAGAUCUGUAUUUAAGGUAAUUUUAUUUGUCCUUUUAUUGGCGGUAAGAUAAACAAUCCUGGGUUUUCCUAUUACAUUUCUGUAAAUAGUGCAAGCGGGGUAAUGUUAUUGUUUUACUAAAGAGGAUCAUUGCAACAUAAAGGUAAUUUUUGCAUAUAGUAAAUAUUGUACACCUUCAAAAGCAGAUACUGUAAGUUAUGUCUUAUUUCAGCUAAUAUGUUUUGAUGGGAUGAUCUUAAAGACUGCUUGUAUCUAUUGUAUGUAUGUUGCUGUGCUUGGAAUAUUAAAUAGUUGUCUGUUGGCAAUACCAGGUAUUUUUUCCA